rnacentral:rRNA from 1 species
GACGAACGCUGGCGGCGUGCUUAACACAUGCAAGUCGAACGGAAGGGCCCUGCUCUUGUGGGGUGCUCGAGUGGCGAACGGGUGAGUAACACGUGAGUAACCUGCCCUUGACUUUGGGAUAACUUCAGGAAACUGGGGCUAAUACCGGAUAGGAGCUCCUGCUGCACGGUGGGGGUUGGAAAGUUUCGGCGGUUGGGGAUGGACUCGCGGCUUAUCAGCUUGUUGGUGAGGUAGUGGCUUACCAAGGCUUUGACGGGUAGCCGGCCUGAGAGGUUGACCGGCCACAUUGGGACUGAGAGACGGCCCAGACGCCUACGGGAGGCAGCAGUGGGGAGUAUUGCACAAUGGGCGGAAGCCUGAUGCAGCAGCGCCGCGUGCGGGAUGACGGCCUUCGGGUUGUAAACCGCUUUCGCCUGUGACGAGGCGUGAGUGACGGUAAUGGGUAAAGAAGCACCGGCUAACUACGUG